AGCGAACGCUGGCGGCAGGCCUAACACAUGCAAGUCGAACGAAGUCUUCGGACUUAGUGGCGGACGGGUGAGUAACACGUGGGAACGUACCUUUUGGUUCGGAACAACUCAGGGAAACUUGAGCUAAUACCGGAUGAGCCCUUAGGGGGAAAGAUUUAUCGCCGAAAGAGCGGCCCGCGUUAGAUUAGCUAGUUGGUGAGGUAAAGGCUCACCAAGGCUACGAUCUAUAGCUGGUCUGAGAGGAUGAUCAGCCACACUGGGACUGAGACACGGCCCAGACUCCUACGGGAGGCAGCAGUGGGGAAUCUUGCGCAAUGGGCGAAAGCCUGACGCAGCCACGCCGCGUGAAUGAUGAAGGUCUUAGGAUUGUAAAAUUCUUUUACCAGGGACGAUAAUGACGGUACCUGGAGAAAAAGCCCCGGCUAACUUCGUGCCAGCAGCCGCAGUAAUAC
rnacentral:rRNA from 1 species